CACGUGGUAUCCUGUCUGAAUAUGGGGGGACCAUCCUCCAAGGCUAAAUACUCCUGACUGACCGAUAGUGAACCAGUACCGUGAGGGAAAGGCGAAAAGAACCCCGGCGAGGGGAGUGAAAAAGAACCUGAAACCGUGUACGUACAAGCAGUGGGAGCACGCUUAGGCGUGUGACUGCGUACCUUUUGUAUAAUGGGUCAGCGACUUAUAUUCUGUAGCAAGGUUAACCGAAUAGGGGAGCCGAAGGGAAACCGAGUCUUAACUGGGCGUUAAGUUGCAGGGUAUAGACCCGAAACCCGGUGAUCUAGCCAUGGGCAGGUUGAAGGUUGGGUAACACUAACUGGAGGACCGAACCGACUAAUGUUGAAAAAUUAGCGGAUGACUUGUGGCUGGGGGUGAAAGGCCAAUCAAACCGGGAGAUAGCUGGUUCUCCCCGAAAGCUAUUUAGGUAGCGCCUCGUGAAUUCAUCUCCGGGGGUAGAGCACUGUUUCGGCAAGGGGGUCAUCCCGACUUACCAACCCGAUGCAAACUGCGAAUACCGGAGAAUGUUAUCACGGGAGACACACGGCGGGUGCUAACGUCCGUCGUGAAGAGGGAAACAACCCAGACCGCCAGCUAAGGUCCCAAAGUCAUGGUUAAGUGGGAAACGAUGUGGGAAGGCCCAGACAGCCAGGAUGUUGGCUUAGAAGCAGCCAUCAUUUAAAGAAAGCGUAAUAGCUCACUGGUCGAGUCGGCCUGCGCGGAAGAUGUAACGGGGCUAAACCAUGCACCGAAGCUGCGGCAGCGACGCUGAUGCGUUGUUGGGUAGGGGAGCGUUCUGUAAGCCUGCGAAGGUGUGCUGUGAGGCAUGCUGGAGGUAUCAGAAGUGCGAAUGCUGACAUAAGUAACGAUAAAGCGGGUGAAAAGCCCGCUCGCCGGAAGACCAAGGGUUCCUGUCCAACGUUAAUCGGGGCAGGGUGAGUCGACCCCUAAGGCGAGGCCGAAAGGCGUAGUCGAUGGGAAACAGGUUAAUAUUCCUGUACUUGGUGUUACUGCGAAGGGGGGACGGAGAAGGCUAUGUUGGCCGGGCGACGGUUGUCCCGGUUUAAGCGUGUAGGCUGGUUUUCCAGGCAAAUCCGGAAAAUCAAGGCUGAGGCGUGAUGACGAGGCACUACGGUGCUGAAGCAACAAAUGCCCUGCUUCCAGGAAAAGCCUCUAAGCAUCAGGUAACAUCAAAUCGUACCCCAAACCGACACAGGUGGUCAGGUAGAGAAUACCAAGGCGCUUGAGAGAACUCGGGUGAAGGAACUAGGCAAAAUGGUGCCGUAACUUCGGGAGAAGGCACGCUGAUAUGUAGGUGAAGUCCCUCGCGGAUGGAGCUGAAAUCAGUCGAAGAUACCAGCUGGCUGCAACUGUUUAUUAAAAACACAGCACUGUGCAAACACGAAAGUGGACGUAUACGGUGUGACGCCUGCCCGGUGCCGGAAGGUUAAUUGAUGGGGUUAGCCGCAAGGCGAAGCUCUUGAUCGAAGCCCCGGUAAACGGCGGCCGUAACUAUAACGGUCCUAAGGUAGCGAAAUUCCUUGUCGGGUAAGUUCCGACCUGCACGAAUGGCGUAAUGAUGGCCAGGCUGUCUCCACCCGAGACUCAGUGAAAUUGAACUCGCUGUGAAGAUGCAGUGUACCCGCGGCAAGACGGAAAGACCCCGUGAACCUUUACUAUAGCUUGACACUGAACAUUGAGCCUUGAUGUGUAGGAUAGGUGGGAGGCUUUGAA
rnacentral:rRNA from 1 species